UCCUGUGAGCCCCGGGGGUUAAAUUGCCCCGGGUCCCGUCACUUGGGGCUUUGGCACUGUCCAGGCCCGGUACUCCUGGGGUUUGCCAUUUGAUUGAGGACAGCGAAAAUCCAGUGUCAGAGCCUGACUCCUCUCCUCUCCAGGGCCUCCACCCAUCCAGUUUUGGGGGGCGCUUUAAUGGCCCCGGCCAUGGCGGUGUGGAUCCAGGCGCAGCAGCUCCAGGGCUACACCCUCCACCGGAUGCAGGCUCUGUACUGCCAGCACUUCUCCCGGGCACUACCUGGCACCUGAAACGAGAGCCAGGCCUGGGAGUAGGUAGAUGUGGACAACAGACAGGAGCGGGGAAAAGCCAGCCAGCUCCUGGAGGGUUUGGUCCAGGAGCUGCAGAAGAAAGCUGAGCACCAAGUGGGCUCCACUCCACCUUGCCCACUGUCCCAGUUGACCCUGGGGUACCGACCGUCUCAAGGUCAAAUGCUAUCUCGUGACCUCCUGAGCCA